rnacentral:rRNA from 1 species
AGGACGAACGCUGGCGGCGUGCUUAACACAUGCAAGUCGAACGAGAUCCAAGGAGUGGCAACACUCUGGAAGAUCUAGUGGCGAACGGGUGCGUAACACGUGAGGAACCUACCCCGGUCUCUGGAAUAACAGGUGGAAACACCUGCUAAUACCAGAUGCCGUCAAAUCAUCGCAUGGUGAACUGACGAAAGAAUUUCGGAUCGGGACGGUCUCGCGGCCUAUCAGCUUGUUGGUGGGUAAUGGCCUACCAAGGCGUCGACGGGUAGCUGGUCUGAGAGGAUGAUCAGCCACACUGGGACUGAGACACGGCCCAGACUCCGUACGGGAGGCAGCAGGUGGGGAAUCGUUGCGCAAUGGGCGAAAGCCUGACGCCGCAACGCCGCGUGCGGAAGAGGCCUUCGGUUGUAAACCGCUUUCGAGCGAAGGAACGAAAUGACGUACCUGACAGAAGAAGGUGCGGACC